rnacentral:lncRNA from 1 species
UACUACUUAAGGUUUGUAGAAUUGAGGCUACAAUGUUCAUUUAUAUGGAACAAAUAUAAAGUUCAGUUCAGCAUGUAUAGGUGUUUCUAGGAAACAUGAUCCAUCAAUUUUUAUUUAUUUCACAGAAAGAGCUGAAAAUUCAAGUUGUUUUCCGUAACAAGAAUUGAGAAAGAUACCAAGAAAAUUCAGAAGAGAGAUACAACCUCAGUGUGGAUGUUGAUGAAUACAGGCAGAAUUUAUGCGUACCCGGUGCAAUGCCUACAGUUGAUCAUGGGUUCCUGUUCCUUGAGAUCUUUCCUGCUCCUGGAGGA